CGCACUCGUUCAAUUGUUGAAAGUCAUGGAGUGUGGGAGGUUAUACUGCGAAUAAAAUAUAUACUAUGCCAUACAGUCCUACAUUCAAGCGUUGCCCUUGUUUGUUGUGGAUCGGUCAGGCGGACUGCCGCGGAUCCUAACCUACAGUCAGGCGUACUGUGUUGAGGUAGGACUGACUUGGCGACUCGCGCUUAUGGCUUUGGC